UACAGAGGGUGCAAACGUUGCUCGGAAUUACUGGGCGUAAAGCGCACGCAGGUGGCUGAGUCAGUCGAUUGUGAAAGCCCUGGGCUUAACCUGGGAAUUGCAGUCGAUACUACUCAGCUAGAGUAUGGGAGAGGGCAGUGGAAUUCCCGGUGUAGCGGUGAAAUGCGUAGAUAUCGGGAGGAACAUCAGUGGCGAAGGCGGCUGCCUGGCCCAAUACUGACACUCAGGUGCGACAGCGUGGGGAGCAAACAGG
rnacentral:rRNA from 1 species